GGGAAAGGAAAGGGAAACAGAAAGGAAAGGAAGGGAAGGGAAAAGGGAACGAAAAAGGGAGGGAAAGGAAAGAGGAAAUGGGAAGGGAAGGGGAAAGAGAAGGGAAAAAGAAGGAAAGGGAAAGGAAGGGAAGAGAUGGGAAGGGAAAGGAAAAAGGGAAGGAAAGGAAAAGGGAAAAGAAACAAGGAAAAGGAAAAAAGAAAGGGAAAAUGGAAGGGGAAAGGAAGGGAAGGGGAAGUGGGAAGGAAAAGGGAAGGAAAGGAAAAAGGGAAGGGAAAAAGAAGGAAAAGGAAGGAAAGAAAGGAAGAGAAGGGACGGGAAUGGAAAGGAGAGGGAAAGGGAAUGAAAGGAAAAAGGGAAGGAAAUGAAAAGAAACAAGGAAAAAGGGAAGGAAAAGGAAAGAAAGGGAAGGGGAAAGGGGAAGGAAAAUGGGAGGGGAAGGGAAGGGACGGGACGGGACGGGACGGGGGCAGCCCCUGGAGCUGUGCCCAUCCCCUCUUCCUCCUGGGGGGCUGCGAGGUCCCACACAGGGACCCCAACCCCUCACCCCUCGCCCCCCACCCCCCAGAUCCUGCAGGCGGACGGCGGCAACUACUGCGCCUGCGUGAACGCCGCCACGCUGGCCGUGAUCGACGCCGGCAUCCCCCUGCGGGACUACGUCUGCGCCAGCUCGGCCGGGCUGCUGGAGGACACGGCGCUGGCCGACCUCAGCUACCUGGAGGAGGCGGCGGGGGGCCCGCAGGCGGCCCUGGCGCUGCUGCCCACCUCGGGCCACAUGGCCCUGCUGCGCCUGGACUCGCGGCUGCACCACGACCGCCUGGGCGCCGUGCUGGAGGCGGCCGGCGGCGCCUGCAGGGCCGUGCACGCCGUGCUGGACCGCGUGGUGCGCGAGCACGUGCGGGACGUCACCGCGCUGCUGGGGGCCUGAGGGCGGGGGGGGACAAUAAAGGAUGGUGCCGGAGCUCGACGCCGCGUCGCCUAAUUCGGGGUGCCGAGGGGAUGUGGGUGGGAGAUGGGGACCUCCCCGUGGAGACUGGGACCCCCCCGUGGAGAUUGGGACCCCUCCUGUGUCCCCAUGGAGAUUGGGACCCCCCCUGUGCCCCCGUGUCCCUGUGGAGACUGGGACCCCUCCUGUGUCACCGUGGAGAUGGGGACCCCCCCCAUGUGUCCCCAUGGAGAUUGGGACCCCCCCGUGGAGACUGGGACCCCCCCCAUGUCCCCAUGGAGAUUGGGACCCCCCCUGUGCCCCCAUGUCCCUGUGGAGACUGGGACCCCUCCUGUGUCACCGUGGAGAUGGGGACCCCCCCCAUGUGUCCCCAUGGAGAUUGGGACCCCCCCCCGUGUCCCCAUGGAGCUGUUGGGGUGACCCCCACUGAGCUGUUCUGCUGUGGGAUUUGGGUGCUGAAAAAUGGGGUGAAAAUGGAUGGGGACAUAGGGACAGGAUGGGGACAGGGUGGGGACUUGGGGACAGGGACAGGACGGGGACAUGGGGAUGGGGAAUUGGGGACGGGAUGGGGACGUGGGGAUAGGGACACAGGGACGGGAUGGGGACGUGGGGACGGGAUGGGGACAGGGACCAGGCAGGGCAUUCCUGCUGUGGGACAUGGGGAUGAGAUGGGGACAUGGGGAUGGGUACAGGACGGGGACAUAGGGACAUGGGAAUGGGGACAUGGGGCUGGGGACAGGAUGGGGACAGGAUGGGGACAUGGGGACGGGAUGGGGACAGGGACCAGACAGGGCAUUCGUGCUGUGUGGGACAUGGGGACAGGGUGGGGACAUGGGGUGGGGACAUGGGGACAGGAUGGGGACUUGGGGACAUGGGGAUGGGGACUUGGGGACGGGGACAGGAUGGGGACACAGGGAUGGGGACAUGGGGACAGGGACAUGGGGACGGAUGGGACAUGGGGACU
rnacentral:lncRNA from 1 species